CAGCAGCAGCCACGGGAAUACAGAGGGUGCGAGCGUUAAUCGGAUUUACUGGGCGUAAAGCGUGCGUAGGCGGCUUUUUAAGUCGGAUGUGAAAUCCCUGAGCUUAACUUAGGAAUUGCAUUCGAUACUGGGAAGCUAGAGUAUGGGAGAGGAUGGUAGAAUUCCAGGUGUAGCGGUGAAAUGCGUAGAGAUCUGGAGGAAUACCGAUGGCGAAGGCAGCCAUCUGGCCUAAUACUGACGCUGAGGUACGAAAGCAUGGGGAGCAAACAGGAUUAGAUACCCGCGUAGUCCCUGUCUCUUAUAC
rnacentral:rRNA from 1 species